CUUGGCAAGGAAGGAUUCUAGGAAGAAUCAGAAAUCUAUCUUUCAAUGCAGAAGAAUGAUGACUCCUGAUGCAGUUCUAAAAAGGUUUAUGCUGUAUGAAUGUUUGUUGCAAAAUGGCUGCAAUGGAGUUCGAUAUUUGGAAAUAUAUCCUACACAUGAAAGAUUUAUUGGAAAAUAGAAUAACUUGUGAUCAGAAUAAGGAAGUCAGCAAAAUAAACGGAAAAUGAACUAGAUCACAUCUGAAGAGGAAUAUUGAAAGAACAAUCUAAGGAGUGAAGUAAUUGUAAAGCAUUUCAGAUCGUUUUUUGAACAAGAAGUUCUAAAGUUUAUGCCACAUGAUUUCAGCGUGGAGUUUAACAUGCUGCUGAAAUUAUGGUCCAUUCUAAAUACAUUUAUUAGGGGAAUUAGCAGCUGGAAUUUCCAUGAUGGGUCAUCUUCAAGCUGGAGAUCCUGGGACUAUAGUGGCAUAGCUAAGUCCAAGUUUAACUCUUAGUUCAAGGUUGAAAGCUGAGCAGCCUUGGGGGGACUGCUGGAGUCCAAAGACAAGGAAGCUUGGA